AUCGAUUGAAUUAUCAGUUUGGUGCAUCGAUCCUAACGAUCAACAAACUUUUCACUUGAAAGUUUGUUCGUUCGGCUCGAGUUAUCAAACUGAAUGGAUG